UGGGGAAUAUUGGACAAUGGGCGCAAGCCUGAUCCAGCAAUGCCGCGUGAAUGAUGAAGGCCUUAGGGUUGUAAAGUUCUUUUAGUGGGGAAGAUAAUGACGGUACCCACAGAAAAAGCACCGGCUAACUUCGUGCCAGCAGCCGCGGUAAUACGAAGGGUGCAAGCGUUGUUCGGAAUUACUGGGCGUAAAGCGCGCGUAGGCGGUUUGAUAAGUUGGAAGUGAAAUCCCGGGGCUUAACUCCGGAAUUGCUUUCAAAACUGUCAAGCUAGAGUAUGGUAGGGGACAGUGGAAUUCCUAGUGUAGAGGUGAAAUUCGUAGAUAUUAGGAGGAACACCAGUGGCGAAAGCGACUGUCUGGACCAUUACUGACGCUGAGGCGCGAAAGCGUGGGGAGCAAACAGG
rnacentral:rRNA from 1 species